GCUCGCAGUCGCUUCUCUUCGCGUGCUGGAGGGAGGAACUGAGGCACGAGGUCGCCUGUCUGGUGGACAGAACUAUUUAAUCAUCACGUCCUGAAGAAAGAAAACAUUCUUACCACACUCAGAGUGACAAGGAGGACCAGAGGACUGGUUGUCAGCUGAAGCCUGAACUGAGUUGCCUCACCUGUGGAGUCCAGAGACAGCUGAAUUCCAGUGGGGCCCCGGGCUUUGUGGCAAUUACAAGUGUUAUGCCUUGUGGGAUCGAGCAAGGACGUAGAGACCACCUUAUGGGAAUUCCAGGGUGAGAACUGGACAUUUUAAGAUGCCCAGUGGGAAGAGCUUGGCCGUUUGAGACCUGAGGACUCUGGGAGGAUGAAGCAAAGGCCAACAUUCACCUACUUGUAUGGGCUUGGUCCCCUUGGCAAUCAAGUGCUGAAGAAUUAAUAGA